rnacentral:rRNA from 1 species
AUUGAACGCUGGCGGCAGGCCUAACACAUGCAAGUCGAGCGGUAACGAUCCUAGCUUGCUAGGAGGCGACGAGCGGCGGACGGGUGAGUAACGCGUGGGAAUCUACCUAGUAGUGGGGGACAACUUGUGGAAACGCAAGCUAAUACCGCAUACGCCCUACGGGGGAAAGAGGGGGCUCUUCGGACCUCUUGCUAUUAGAUGAGCCUGCGUAAGAUUAGCUAGUUGGUGGGGUAAUGGCCUACCAAGGCGACGAUCUUUAGCUGGUCUGAGAGGAUGAUCAGCCACACUGGAACUGAGACACGGUCCAGACUCCUACGGGAGGCAGCAGUGGGGAAUAUUGCACAAUGGGGAAACCCUGAUGCAGCCAUGCCGCGUGUGUGAAGAAGGCCUUAGGGUUGUAAAGCACUUUCAGUUAGGGAGAAAGGUUAGAGUUAAUACCUGCUAGCUGUGACGUUACCUACAGAAGAAGCACCGGCUAACUCCGUG